GAAGGUUGUUAACAUCUUCAUAAGAUAUGAAAACUAUUUAAUGUACGUAAGGCAAAAAAUAAGUUUCAUAAAUAAUAAAUUGAUAAAAAUAUAUUCUAUCUCUUACAUCGAAAGAGGAGAAAAUAUGACUGAAAUUAUCAAGUUUGUUAAUGUUAUGAUUAUUUUGCUUUCAGUAUUUAUUAUUGCAAUGAACGUCAACGCAUCACCAGUGUUAUGUCAACGCAAUUAUGAAUGUUACGAGCAAAUAUGCUUGCCUCCUAAAAAACAUUGGUGCAAUAUAUUAGAGCUAGUUCGGAUCAACGGAUUCUAUCUAGGCCUUUGUGCAUGUAUUUGAGUGAAUGUGCUUAUAAAAUUCUGCUAGAAUUUUCAUAAGUUGUCUUUUAGUAAAUGUGCAAGAACCCAUAAUUUGUAUUUUAUUCACUUUCUAAUUUCAUGGACCCAUGAUAAUUUGUAUUUUAUUUCGGGUCUGUCGCUAUUUUCUGACU